AUGAUUAUUUUAAUGGCCGCGGUAUUUUGACCGUGCAAAGGUAGCAUAAUCAUUAGUCUUUUAAUUGGGGACUUGUAUGAAUGGUUGGACGAAAUAUUGACUGUCUUUAGAAUAUUAUUAUAAUUUUAAUUUUUAGUUAAAAUGCUAGGAUUUUUUUAUGGGACGAGAAGACCCUAUAGAUCUUUAUUAUAUAUUUUGUUAAUUUGUUUAGUUUAUUUAUUAGUUGAUUUUUUAUAUUAUUUUGUUGGGGUGACGUGGGGAAAAUUUGUAACUCCUUAUUUUUUUUUUUUUUACAUUUAUUUUUGAUUAGUUGACCUUUUAUUAUUGUUAUAAAAUUAAAUACCUUAGGGAUAACAGCGUAAUUUUACUUGAAAGUUCAUAUCGACAGUGAAAAUUGCGACCUCGAUGUUGGAUUAGGAUUAUUAUUAGGNGUAGGUGCUUAAUUAAUAGG
rnacentral:rRNA from 1 species